GAGGAUAUAGCUCAGUGUGAAGCAUGUGCUUAGUAUGCUCCAGGCCCUGGGUUCAAUCCCCAGUACUUCCA
rnacentral:tRNA from 1 species